rnacentral:rRNA from 1 species
UACGUAGGGAGCAAGCGUUGUUCGGAUUUACUGGGCGUAAAGGGCGCGUAGGCGGCAAUUCAAGUCAUCUGUGAAAUCUCCGGGCUUAACUCGGAACGGUCAGGUGAUACUGUUUUGCUAGAGUGCGGAAGGGGCAAUCGGAAUUCUCGGUGUAGCGGUGAAAUGCGUAGAUAUCGAGAGGAACACCAGAGGUGAAGACGGGUUGCUGGGCCGACACUGACGCUGACAGCGCGAAAGCCAGGGGAGCAAACGGG